UACGUAGGGUGCGAGCGUUAAUCGGAAUUACUGGGCGUAAAGCGUGCGCAGGCGGUUUUGUAAGCCAGAUGUGAAAUCCCCGGGCUUAACCUGGGAAUGGCAUUUGGGACUGCAAGGCUGGAGUGUGGCAGAGGAGACUGGAAUUCCCGGUGUAGCAGUGAAAUGCGUAGAGAUGUGGAGGAACACCGAUGGCGAAGGCAGCCUCCUGGGCCAGCACUGACGCUCAUGCACGAAAGCGUGGGGAGCAAACAGG
rnacentral:rRNA from 1 species